AACGAACGCUGGCGGCAUGCCUAACACAUGCGAGUCGAACGAACCCUUCGGGGUUAGUGGCGCACGGGUGCGUAACGCGUGGGAAUCUGCCCUUUGCUUCGGAAUAACUCAGGGAAACUUGUGCUAAUACCGGAUGAUGUCUUCGGACCAAAGAUUUAUCGGCAAGGGAUGAGCCCGCGUAGGAUUAGGUAGUUGGUGGGGUAAAGGCCUACCAAGCCGACGAUCCUUAGCUGGUCUGAGAGGAUGAUCAGCCACACUGGGACUGAGACACGGCCCAGACUCCUACGGGAGGCGGCAGUGGGGAAUAUUGGACAAUGGGCGCAAGCCUGAUCCAGCAAUGCCGCGUGAGUGAUGAAGGCCCUCGGGUCGUAAAGCUCUUUUACCAGGGAUGAUAAUGACAGUACCUGGAGAAUAAGCUCCGGCUAACUCCGUG
rnacentral:rRNA from 1 species